rnacentral:rRNA from 1 species
AACGAACGCUGGCGGCAUGCCUAACACAUGCAAGUCGAACGCCUGUAGCAAUACAGGAGUGGCGCACGGGUGAGUAACGCGUGGGAACCUGCCUAGUGGUAAGGAAUAACCGCGGGAAACUGCGGCUAAUACCUUAUGAGCCCUACGGGGGAAAGAUUUAUCGCCAUUAGAGGGGCCCGCGUCCGAUUAGCUAGUUGGUGAGGUAACGGCUCACCAAGGCUCCGAUCGGUAGCUGGUCUGAGAGGAUGAUCAGCCACACUGGGACUGAGACACGGCCCAGACUCCUACGGGAGGCAGCAGUGGGGAGUAUUGGACAAUGGGGGCAACCCUGAUCCAGCAAUGCCGCGUGAGUGAUGAAGGCCUUAGGGUUGUAAAGCUCUUUCGACGGGGAAGAUGAUGACGGUACCCGUAGAAGAAGCCCCGGCUAACUUCGUGCCAGCAGCCGCGGUAAAGUCUGUACU